UGAGGCAGGAGAAUUGCUUGAACCCAGGAGGUGGAGGUUGCAGUGAGCCGAGAUCGCGCCAUUGCACUCCAGCCUGGGUAACAAGAGCGAAACUCCAUCUCA
ensembl:miRNA